rnacentral:rRNA from 1 species
UACGGGGGGGGCAAGCGUUGUUCGGAAUUACUGGGCGUAAAGGGCUCGUAGGUGGCCAACUAAGUCAGACGUGAAAUCCCCAGGCUCAACUUGGGAACUGCGUCUGAUACUGGAUGGCUUGAAUUCGGGAGAGGGAUGCAGAAUUCCAGGUGUAGCGGCGAAAUGCGUAGAUAUCUGGAGGAAUACCGGUGGCGAAGGCGGCAUCCUGGACCAACACUGACGCUGAGGAGCGAAAGCCAGGGGAGCAAACGGG